rnacentral:rRNA from 1 species
AUACGGAGGAUGCAAGCGUUAUCCGGAUUUAUUGGGUUUAAAGGGUGCGUAGGCGGGACUGUAAGUCAGGGGUGAAAUACUGCAGCUUAACUGUAGCAUUGCCUUUGAAACUGCCGUUCUUGAGUACAGUUGAGGUAGGCGGAAUGUGGUGUGUAGCGGUGAAAUGCAUAGAUAUACCACAGAACGCCGAUUGCGAAGGCAGCUUACUAAGCUGUUACUGACGCUGGGGCACGAAAGCGUGGGGAUCAAACAGGAUUAGAUACCCUGGUAGUCCACGCUGUAAACGAUGAUUACUGGUUGUUAGCGAUAUAUAGCUAGUGACUGAGCGAAAGCAUUAAGUUGUCCGCCUGGGGAGUACGGUCGCAAGACUGAAACUUAAAGGAAUUGACGGGG